rnacentral:rRNA from 1 species
UACAGAGACCUCAAGCGUUAUCCGGAAUCAUUGGGCGUAAAGCGUGCCGAUAGGUGGUUUUGAAAGUCUUGGGUAAAAGCCAGAAGCUCAACUUCUGAGUUUGCUUAAGAUACUGCAAAACUAGAGGGGCAAAGAGGUCCUUGGAACGAAUGGUGUAGUAGUGAAAUGCGUUGAUAUCAUUCGGAACACCGAAAGCGAAGGCAGAGGACUGGGUGCCACCUGACACUGCUAGGACGAAAGCGUGGGUAGCGAAUGGG